rnacentral:lncRNA from 1 species
UCCUGUACACACAUUUGUUGUAAUUAAGGAACCUACCGUCCCUAGAGCAAGUGACGAAGGACUUGAUGGUUGGUAUUCAAGACCAAAGUUCGAAUCCUAGUUAAUUCACAUUUCUAGCUAAAUUUAUUUCUAAAUAAAAUAAACGAAGUGGGUAGCGUGCUAUCUUAAAAAGAAACUGUAAGGAAAAGCAAUCGCGCGCUUU